UUACAAAUAAAAACAAAAAUUUUUAUUCUUUUAUUUUAUUGGGUACAAUAUACCUCACAUAAAAUUUGCAUUUGAACCAUUUUUAAGUGUAAAGUUCAGUGGUAUUAAGCACAUACUGUUUUGCAGUAUCACCACCAUCCAUCUACAGAAUUUUUUUUUUAUCUUUCCAAACAGAAAUUCUGUAACCAUGGAACAUUAACUCCCCAUUCCUACUCCCCCAGCCCCUGGCCACCACUUUUACUUUCUGUCUCUAUGAGUUUCACCACUUAAUGGUGUGUCACAGAAGUGGAAUCACACUGUAUUUGUUCUUUUGUGUUGGGCUUAUUGCACUUAGCAUAAUGCCUUCAAGAUUCAGUAGUAUUGUAGCCUGCAUCAGAAUUUCCUUUUGAAGGCUGAAUAAUAUUCCGUUGUAUGUAUUUACCCCAAAAUGAGCAAAAAAACACCCUUCGGAAAAAAAUAAAUAUUGGGCCACCUGGUAGCACGUCUGCCUUCGGUUCAGGUCAUGAUCUCAGGGUCCUGGGAUGGAGCCCUGCACAUCCCAUUGGGAAUCCCUGCUCAGUCUGCUUCUCCCUCUGCCCUUCCCCCAACUCAUACUCUCUCUUUCUCUCUCCCUCAAAUAAAUAUUUUUUCCAAAAGAAAAAUAAUAAAAGUUCUCACAGAAAAUCUUAGAAAGGGUGUGUGUGUGUGUGUGUGUGUGUGUGUGUAUUUAUAUGUACCUAGACAUAAAAAAUGCAACAAUCUUGAAAUGGUCAGGUAUCUGCAAAACAUUUCCUAACUCUCUGGGACUUGAUCACUCCUAUUAGAAUUCUUCCAUAAUUCCUUUCAGUUUCUUCUUUUAAAGUACACCACACCAUCACACAUUAGAUUAUACUUGCUGAAGUCCUGUAAAAUCAUCAACUUCUUCUGGAUUGAAAUUAAGGAUUAGCCUUCUUUGUGUCUGCCCUAGCCUACACCACAGGACUUGGCCCCAAACAAGCCAUCAACCAGCAACUGGAAUAAAGGAAAGCAAAAAAAAAGAAUCCUCAUUAUCUUCAGGAUAUCCUGGAAAAUUAUUUCCAGUUAAUAAAAGUUUCUUCUCAUUAAGAAAACAACAUUUGGCAGUGGGUUUGUCUAAUAAUUUACGUAUGUAUGGUUUAUAUUUCAAAGGAGAUAUCAAAUUUUGUGAACAGUCACGUAACAAUCAUUAAAUGCCAAGCACUAUGCCAGGCACUUAUGCAGAUUUUACCAUUUAAAGUAGGCAUAGGCAAUAUGAAAUACAGGAUGUGUUGUUGCCAUUUUAUAGACAGGGCCAUAGUGUUUAAUUGCACAACAGGACAAAAAGUGAUGGAGUCUGAAUUCCAGUCUGUCUGAUGUCCAGAUCUGUGUUGUUCACCCCUCGUCUACUCUAGGUUUCAUUAGGGGUAUUCGAAGAAGUCCGUGUGUUCACAGACUAUGAGAAGUCAGGCAAGGUGUCAAAUGUGGAUUUUAGGUUCACAGGCAUCUUUCUACGAGUUUGGUUGCCUUUAAGAACUGUAUUUGUGGGAGAAAACACAUCAAGAACUGCCAAGAAUCUGGUUGCCUACAGGUGCCCUCACCUUUGCAAUCCAGAGAAGUGAAAUGAGCAUGGAAAGAAGAUAGUUCAAUAAGUAAGGAUAGAUUCAAUAUGGAAACCAAACUGUUGAUCCAAACAGUCUGAGGAUACUUAAAUAUGCCCCUCCUUCAGCUGCUGACAUGGAGUGGGACCUAGUACCUGAUGACAACAUGGGAGACAGACAUCCUCAGUAUGUGUUUGAUGGAGGAGUGAAUUGUUACAACCCUUUGGAUAAAAAGUAUGCAAUAUAUAUUGAAAUAGGAAGUAUCUGCGAUUCAGUGGUCCCACCACUGGAAAUCUCCUUGUGGAUAUAAAAGUAUUAUAUGAUAAAGAUAUGCACAUAAGGAUGUUUAUUGCUGUGCUAUUGGUUGUGAUAAAAGCCUAGAUCAAUUUACAUGUUGAUCAAUAAUGGAACAAGUGGUUCUAUAGUAGGGUCAUCUAUUCUACGGAGUUAGCUGUUAAAAGACUGAGUUAGGUCUCUGCCUAUUGACCUGGCCAGAUAAUACACUGUAAAGUGAAUAAAGCAAUGGUCUGGUAAUAUGUUAGAAUUCAUGUUAAAAAAGUACACCAAAAAAGCAAACUAGCUAUGUUUUUAUAAGUAUAAAGUUAGAGUGAUACACAACUCAGGCAGUUAAACUGGUUACUGUAAGUGGAGUAAGUGGAGUAGAAAUUGGGAAGUGUAGGAAGAAACUUUCUGUCCAUAUGCUUUUUUUGGAUUAUGUCAUUUGUUACAAUGGCACACACUGCUUUUACAGUAUGAAAGAUUAAUUGAGAAAACACAUAUUCUUCAAGUGAUUUUUCAUAAACAAAGAUGAUUAAUCUUACAGUUUUAACUGCUUUAAGUGGUUAUAAAAAGAAAAAUCCCCAAGAUUGAGUCUUUUUUUUCUAACUCUUCAUCCAGCCUUGAUUUUAUCUGGUGAAGCGCCCAUCUGCCUUCUUUUGGAAUCUAUAUUUCUCACUGAAGUCUUACAAAUGUGCUACAAUAAGUACUACCAACAAAUCCACAUUUACAUGAUAUUGCAUCCCUGUGAUACUUUCUGGCCUCGUACAUAUUGUAGUUUGUGAUUAGUCUCUAAUUAUCGUAUCUCUCUGUUUUAGGCAGAUCCUUGUGUGCAGUGACUGCUUUAUUCCUGUUUUACCCUCAGCAUCC
rnacentral:lncRNA from 1 species